GGAGGUAUGGCUGAGUGGCUUAUGUCAUUGGUUUUCUAAAUCAACAUACAAGAAGAUUGUAUCAUGGGUUCGAAUCCCAUUUCCUCCG
rnacentral:tRNA from 1 species